AAAGAAGUGGAGAUCUUUAUCCUCACCUCUUGGAGAAGAACUUAUUCAGGGUUUGGUGAAUCUUGGAGCAGGUGAAACUUCAAACAAGGGAAAUGAGCCGGAGGAGUACUAACACUAGAGGGGUUUUUAGCUUGCCAAGUUUGUGAUAGCACAGCAUAAGGAUGAAAGCAUGAAAGCAUGAAGUGCUUGGCAAGAGUUGUGUUUGUAUUUCCAUUUUGAGUUGUAUAUGUUACUUUAUUUCCUUGGCAUGUAUCAUCAGGGAUCCACUAUAUGUUGUUG